GCUCGGCCUGCCGCCGCCGCGGGGGCCUCUGACACUGCGCGCCAGGCCAGGUUCCGGAAGGCAGUCUGCGCGGGCGGGGAGCUCGGGCCCGGGCGGCCCUCGCGCGCCAGGCUGCCCGCAGCAGGGGGCUCGCACGCAGCCCUCCUCCGCCACCCUCCGGGCGCAGGGGUGCGGGCUAGGACGAGGUGGGGGGCGGAGGCGCCGAGCGCAAGACGGCGCAGGAGCCGGGCGCGACGUCGCACGCGGGGAGCCAGGAAUCUGCCCACCAGGACUUUAUCCUCCUGAGGACCUUGUUGUGGGAAAUGAGCAAAACAGAAAAACCGCAGAGCCAAGCUAAGGUGCGUGUUAUGGCUUUCCUUCUGGCUCGGAAAGAAGGCUGAGGGCAUCCCUGCCUUCAGGUGACUCAGCCCCAAGUGCCUGAUGGGGUACGUGGUCCAGGGCAUCCAGGCAGGGAGCAGGGCGGGGAUGUCCACCUGACACUCCAGGAGGGGCUCCCGCCCCCCUGCCUCUGCCUGCCAGCCCAGACCAAACCCCCAUUGCAGGGGCUAUACCACCACACCUGCAGUGAAAACUCAGGUGCAGGCUCACUGGGCAGGGCAGGGCAGGGCAGCCCCACGAUUUACAUGAUCAACUAAUAUUAGAUCUUUUCCGAAAGCUUAGUUUAACGAGAGGAGAGAGAAGUCAGCGUGUGGGUUUUUGAACCUGGAAAGUGAAUUAAGAACUUUGGAGGGACAAAGAAAAAGGCCCUGGGCAGGGACAGAAUGAGUUAGUAAAUUGUGAUAGUCUUGCAACUGGCCAAACGGCAAAUUCCAACAACAAUAGUAGUUAACAUUUGAGGGUUUACCGUGCACUGGCGACGCACAGUGGCUCAUUUGACAACUUUGUUAGGAUCUACGGGACAGCUGUGCUGAGUGGGCUCCAUGACCAGCCUUCUUAUAAAUGAGGACCUGAGACACAGAGAGGCUCACUCGCUUGUCCUGCAUCACACAGCUAGUUAGCAGCGGAGCCGGUUCCAACUCCCUGUCUCUGCCCUUCUCUGCCCGAUGUCCAUUAGCCUCAGCACCACAUCAUUGAGUGUGCCUGACUCAUCUCUUCGGUCAUCGCCUUCAUGAAAAGGACCAUUUGCUUCCCCCCACACCCCCACCCCAGAAGAGACAGCCAAGGGCUGUGAAGACAUGUGUCUGUCCCCAGUGCCUUAGAAAGGGCACAGGAGAUCCAGAGGCUGGAGGACUCACCAUCAGCACUCCAGGGAACUGAGUGAUACCUCAAGCAGGUCACUGGUCCUCUCUGAACCUCAGUCUCUUCAUCUGUCAAGUGGAGGAGGGCAUGCUUCAUGUGGCAAGAGUUCUUGUUAGCACUGAAGUUCCAGAGCGCCUUCCCACCAUUUGCUCACCGUGUGAACGUCUGAAUGCUGCAGACUUCUAUGCCUCGAUUUCUGCAGCAGUCCUGUUUUAAUACGAAUUGUGCUUCUCUGUGACGCUUGAGUGGGAUGGUGCAUAGAGAUGUACUCCAUGCAGUCUGCAGGUCAGACUCACGAGAAUGGUCUUCCUGCCACAGUACGCGGCCCCCAUGUUUGAGAGGUUCAUGCAUGGAGGUUUAUUUCUUGUUCACACAGCAGUCCAGCACCCACUUGACUUCCACAGCUGUGCAUCUCUCCUGGAAGCGCUCCUCCUUCUUGUCUUCCGCGUCUGCCUCCUCCUGGUCCUUGGAGGCCUCUCCACUCAGCAGGUAGACGAAGAAGAAUGGGGAAAGUUGCAGACUCACGUCUUAUGGAUCUGAUGUGGAGCAGUCAACACCAAUAUCUUCACACUCCAUCACCCCUAGCUACACGGGAGGCCAGAGAUGUGGGUGUCUGUGUGCCCUGGAUUGAAAGGGAAUGGUUUCCAGGACAGUUCAUCCAUCUCUACAGUAGAAACCAUAGUCUCCAAGAUCGAUGAGAGCUAUCUUGAUCCUUGUGAAAGGAAAGACCCCUUGACUUACCAGGAUUGGGGAAGUCUCAAGAUCAUCAUUGCGUCAAUACGUGUGCAAGUGUGUGCGUGAGUAUGUGUUCCCCAGAAACCAAAGCCCGAGGCAAGGCUCACAGGCUCCUGCCUUCUUAGGAGGUGCAACCCCAGGAAGUAGGAGAACCAAUAGGAAGGUCCAGUCUGAACUGACCAGCACCUGGUAUUAACAGCCAGCCAUUGCUUGGUUUUAUGGGACCAUCUUCCUAAAGUCCAUACAAACAGUUGCUGCUUGGGACAGCUUAUUCAAGGAGGCGAAAGAAGGGACAUUCAUCCACUGGCUUCUGCUGCUCAUUGGCCGAUGAUUCAUCCAGGUUGCAAGAACUCUCUCUCUCAGUCAUGCAGGGAUAGGCUCUGGGAAAAUCCUGUGGCAUCUCUGAGCCCCCGAGGCCAGGAAGAUCCUCAGAGCAGGGAAUGGAAGGUGCCCGGCACGGACAUCAGGCGAGGCGCCUGCCGAAUCCAGUUGGAACCCAUGGAAAGGUCCCUGGUGUCACCUUUGCCAAGCUCAUAGAAGACAGAACUGGAAGGCACCAAAAUCCAGAUGCAGGUUGGCACCAGGCACCAGGUUAGCCCACAGUGAGACCCCGCCCACAAUGAGACCCUUUCUGAAGCUGAGCAGGGUUCUGCUCUGCACUGCAUCUGACCUCUGGAGAGUUCAAGUGUUUGCUGCAAAAAAAAAAAAAAAAAAAAAACAACUCACGCACACAUGAUUCUCCGGGGCCGAGGCCCUGUCAUCCUUCACUGAAAUGAGCCCUUCAACAAAUGUAAAUACCUCCUAUGCUCUCCCGGAGGCCCGUCCUAACAAGGCCUCGCCCAGGCUCCUCGUAAUCCCAGGGAUUGCUGAAGCUUUUAGAUUUCACGGGGUAAUUUGUAAGGCGGCCUGACUUGGAGCCAGCCCUGUGGUGACUUGCCUGGGGUGGCUCCCGGGUGCCUUGACUUGCCCGGCACAGGUGAGCAGCUGGCUCUGCAGACCCCAGACCCAGAGGCCCAUGGACCUGCGUCUCAGAGCAUCUCCGAGAAGACCGGGCAGUGGCAGAAUGCUGUCCUUGCUGGGGAUGGGGCUCCACAGCCACCACCGCAGAUAGCACGGAGACAGCUGCGGGGCCACCGGCCGAGCGGCCUCACCGGAGUCAAUUAGUCUGCUGUCCUGUCUCCCCUCAACGCUUCCAGAGCCAGGGCCCGGGAGGGCCGCACGUCGGGCCCUGCCCCUCACCCCCCAUCUUGUGCCUUGAGGGCCCCUUCCCCAGGCACGUGGUUCCACUCUGCCCCCCAUGCGGUGCCCACCGGAAGUGCCCCAUGGAGUCUGCGAUGUCACCCCUGCCUCCUGGCACACAGCGCACUUCAUCCCCCACCCCAGCAGUCAGGUGGGGCCCCGAGACUGGCUUCCAGCCGACGGAUACAGGAAGGAGUGCCCAGUUGCCACGGCCAGGCUGGCCCCUAAACUUCCAUCUUCUUUCACGAUCCCCUGGCCACUGACUGGACACUGGGAUCCAGUGGGAGACACCACGACCCUAGGAAAAUGGGCCUUGGGUUCUGGAGUGACCACGUGGAGCGGAUCGCCCAUCCCACAUCCUGGGCUGGACCUGACGAGAGAGGACCCUGUGUCGGGCUGAGUUCCUGAAGCCUGAGGGAGCUUGUUCCGCUGAUCGACACACGCUCAAGAAGCGACUCUGGCCUCUCGGAGUCUGUUUUCUCUAUCUCAAAAGAGGGGACAAGACACACAUCUUGCUUAGCCAUGGGGGUUGCUGUGAGUGCAAACAGGGUAGCCGUCCUUCCGGCCUGGCAUCAGACAGGUGCCCAGGCUGCAGCCCGCCAGCACGUCUCAGAGACUGCACACGGUCCAGGCUAGACAAGGUCAUGUGGGUGAAGCUCGGAGAGUGCUCAGCAGCCGCAGCAGGCGUUGGUCUCCCAGGGAAGAGGUUUUCUCAGCCCCACACUCUCCCCAGCCUGUGUCCCACUGAGCCCGAGGAGGAAGACAGUGCACCUGGGCUCCCAGGACCUCCUCUCUCCAGCUCACUGUGGGAUUCCCCAGGGGAGGCAGCAGGAGGCCAGGGAAUGGAAUGAGUCUGAGAGACAUCAGACUCUUCUUGGUCCCCCUCCUUUAUGGCACUGAGGCACCUCUCCCGCGGGCUCCGGGGUUCCGCCAGGCUCUGAACGCCGUUUUUCCCCCGCUCAGAUCUGAGUGUGUCUUUGGCUUCUGGGAGUUGCUGGUAGCCCCUGCUCACACCUCUGGGAACAUACCCUCCACUCCAAGUGUCUUCAGAAGCCUGGCUGAAGGUGAGGUCUCUUUGGAGGGGGACCCAGACCUUUGCCCCAGGUUGACAUCACUUAGGAAUCCAGGUUGGAACAAGACCUUCACUCUGGCCUGUCCUGGGAGUGAAGGCAUUUGGAAAGGUGUGUUAGUGAGUGCACAGACUUUCUAGGAGGUUGUGACAUGUGGGAUCAGAGCCUGGAAAUGAAAUCCUGAACCAGGGUGGUGACCCCGUCGUGACCCCCAGAGAGCCUCGCCUCCAGACCGGGAAGUCAGUGCCAGGUAUCUCGUGGGCUGGACUCAGGCUACCCACCUGCACCCUGGCCACGGGGGGAGCCUGUACCAUGAGCCCUGGGCGGCAGCACGUCUCAGGGCAGUUUAGACCCCGGUGGGACCCCUCCCGCCACCCUUUCUUCUCCACUCUGCCCUUGGAGGCUGUGACUUGCAACACGCUGUACGGUGUUAAUGGGGCUCCCCUGGCCUGGCUUCCAUGUGAGUUCAGCCAAUGAAAGCACCAGCAAGCGAGCAGGGGGUGGGGGAGAGCCGGUGGGGAGUCUGUGGGCCUUGCUCGGGCUCAAGCCAUCCAUGUCCAUCUGCGAGCGGAAGGCCCCAGCUCCCGCAGACAGGCCUCUCUCCCAGGAAGCCUCUAUUCCAGGGGCGCUGGGACUCCCCCCGCCAGCCCCUCCGUCAGCCGAGCAGCCCCUCAUUCAUGCUGAGGUGGCUGGACCACCCCGUGUAGGUCCCUCGUGAACCCUCCCCUAGUCAGCCCUCUUCAAGUCCCCGUUCGAGAGCGACACGGGUGUCUUGCUGACAGUCUGCUACAGAAGCUAAAGAUAAACAAGCUGGCAGGCCAGUGGACCGCGCUGAUGGGGGGAGCUCUCCUCCCAGCUCCCUGGGGUGCGUUGGAGUGUGCUCGAGUCCUAACCCCCAGGACCCGUGACAGUGACCUUAUUUGGAAAUUGUGUCUAAUCAAGUUACGAUGAGGUCGUCCUGGGUUAGAAUGAGCCCUAAUCCGAUGACUCGUGUCCUUAUGAGAGGAGGAAAUUCGGACUCAGACCCACCCACACCGAGAAAACUGUUGUGUGACGACCGUGCAGAGCCGGGACGGGGGCAGAAUGGGCCGGCG
ensembl:lncRNA